UACCCUUUCAAAAGCUCAUCUACAGAGGAGCCUGUGAAACACCAUACCGCACAGCUGUGCUCUUCCUGUCCUUUCGUUCCUGGGGACAUGUCAGCAGCAUUUCCCCAGUCCGAUGAGUUUCAGAGCCCGCUCUCUUCCUGCCUGUUUCUUCUCGCUGGAACUACAAGUAGGGAGGAUUUAGCUUCCAUUUUGAAAUCCACAAUCCUGAUGAAAUGUGAUCGCUGGGAAAAAAUAUCUCAGGGACUGUUUAUUAGGGCCACCACAUUUCUGGCAUGAGAAACGGACUGCAAACACUUUGUUACUCUGGUAUUCCGGCUGCUAACACAGCAGGGUGUAAGGUCUUUACGUAAUCCCAAACCUCAGCCUGGAAGAGUUAAUGAUGUUACUCAUGCCACUGGGGCAUGAAAGAAAAGCUUGCAUUUUUGGAUGGUUAUUGCUUGCCCAGAGCGGUGGAAUGAGCCAUAAGGCUGAAGGCCAAGGGACGUGGGCCACCCAUGCAGCGAAAUAAUCCCCAAGAAAUGCACUGCCUGGAAUGGAAAUGAGAGGAAAGUGAACAGUCAUUCCAGGGCAUCUACUGAACGUUACCGAUAGUCAUUCAGUCUAAAGUCUACCUGAUUCUCAAUACUGCAAAUCUCGGAUCUGGGAUAUAUUAUACAGAUCACAGGAAACGAUUGAAAUCAAGCGGUCCAGGCCCUGUUCCUGUCAAGCUCCGGGUCGUAAGCAGUGAGCUCCAUUCUUAUUUCGGUUCCAACAGGAAUGAAUAAUUAAUAACCUAGUUUUGAAUGGAAAGUACAUUUCAAUGGAUGGGUAAUGCUUUCAGCAAGGCCUCUGAGGGUUAUUGUUUAUUUCCUUCUUUCCUUCUUCCCAAAGUGGGACCCUGGAUGAGAAGAAAGAAAUAAUAUUCAAAUGUACAGUGGCCUACAUUUUUGACCCAUCGGAGAUGCAUGUGAAUAAAGAAAAGCAGAAUUUAACGUUGACAUUGGCAUCCACCAUACACUAGACACUCUGUUCUAUGUCUUGUAAGCACUUUAUUGAUCUUCGUGGCAACAGUUUGGUACUUGGCAUUGGCCCAGUUUUUCAGAUGAGGACAUUGGGCUCAGAGAGGUUAAGCAACUUGCCUGAAGUCACACAGCUCGCAGCUUCGAGAGCCAAGAGCUGGGACCAGGUAUGCCCGCCUUCAAAGCUGGGUUCAUGCUCUUUCCGCCGUGACAUUUCAUAGACUCGCAGACCCCCCGUGUUGGGAAUGAUUUGGGGGGUCAUUUAGGUGAGCCCUCGAAAUGAAGGAGGCGUGAUUCUGGUUGUCUCCAUGACGCUGAAGGCCAAACAAGUAUAAAUUGUGCCUGAAGUCCAAGCUGCGGCCUAGAAGAAAUGAGACCAAAGCUUCGAGCCACAGACAGAGGGCAACGGACAAGUACCGGUGUGGGCGGGACGGUCACAACUUCCUGAAGCCACAAGACAGCUUUACCCGUGACAUGAAAGAGGGGAGAGAGAGUUCCCAGCACCAGCUCCCUGCAGCCCGAUGGCCUGGUGGCCUGGGUCAUCCCCGAAUCUCUUGGUCUCGGCUCCCUCACCAGCGAUGAAAUCUCAUCCUCUGGAGGAGGGUUAUGGGUGGAAUUGUGUCCCUAAAGAUGUGUCGAAUGGGACUUGAAGUGCAAAUAGGGUCUUUGACGAUGUAGUCAAGCGAAGACGAGCUCCUGCGGGACAAGGGUGGGCCUUGAAUCCUGUAGGACUGGUGUCCUUCGAAGGGACAGAGAAACACCCACCAAGAAGUAUGGCCGUCAUGUAGCAAGGGUUGCGCCCAUCACCAGAAGCCCCACGAGGCGAGGAAGAAUUCUUCACUGGCUGCAGAGAGAGCAGGGUCCUGGCGACAUCUUGAUUUCAGACGUGUAGCUUCCAGAACCACAAGACGUUUCCCGGAGCAAGAGCAUAAGCAAUUUAUGCUGAAUUCUGGAAAAGGACCCCGCCCCAUUCAGAGGGCUCCUCUAUAGGAUCUUCUAGAUCCCUCCCAGCCUGGAGGUUCUGUGAGUCUAUGAAAUGUGCUGAUGAAGGAGAACAAACCCCAAACCCAGGCUUUGAAGUCAGACAUACCUGGUUCCAGCUCCUAGCUCUCAUGUGCACCUGCUGUGUGACCUCGGGGAAGCAGCUGAACCUCUCUGAGGUUCAUCAUCUGAAAAACCGGGCCAGUGCCAACGGCCAAAUCACGGCUGUGAGGAUGAAGUGGAAAAAUAUUUAUUAAAACACACAGCAAAGAUGGAAUUGGAAGAACAGCUCAGAACAUUACUUGCGGGGGAAGCGGGAGGAGGCCUGCCUGAACCAGAGAGGACUCAGCACUGUUGCUGAGAGGAGCUACUUGGGUCUGCUCCUUUCCCAAGGCCUGGCCAUGCUUCCUUUCUCUCUGUCCUUUGUGCCCCGGAUUCUUGGGAACAACCCAGAUCUGUACCUGGGCCGUCCGCCAUCAUCGUGCUGUUCCUCCGAGGCCGCACACCCCGGAACGCGAUGACUUUCCUGGGUUUUGCUGCCUCUUACUCGACAGAACCUAUCCCAGCCCUCUAUGGACUUUCUGACUGUUAUUCCUUCUUAUUUGCUUAGUUCAUGCAUUCCACGAACAUUCUGGGGGGUCCACAGGGCGCCAGGCCCUGUGCUAGGGCUCCACAACCCCCGACCCCUGUCCAUCUGCCCCAGGAUCCUGCUGCUGGCUCUCCCCAGGCUCCCGAAUAACCACCCCCCUCGGAUUCCUCCCUCCCUCCUGUCCCCGAGGCAGGCUGCGCUGCGGGGUACCUUCACCCCCCCACCCCCCCCACCCCCGGCCAGGAACAAAUCCUGACACUCUGCCGAUAUUUGUUGAUUAAAUGAACACAUAGAAAAGGAUUUUUUUUUAAUUACCACCCCUUCCGCAUUCCCAGCCCCCUUUCAGACUGAUGUAAUCCAAAUUACUGUGCACAGUGAUGAGUUAAAUGCCGGCAGCUUGGUGAUUGUGUUCUAGCUCUUAGGCAGGCCCGUUAUCAGCACCUCUGCGAGUUUCUGAUUUUCAAGUAUCCCCAGGGCUUAAAAAUGCUAAUGAUAGCUCUCUUCCUAUUACUGUAAUAAUACUGAGCACUUGUGUCCUGCUACAUAAAAUCAGUUCAAGUGCACCCACACCCCCCUGGUGAGCUGGGUCCCUUAUUAGCUCCCUGUUGUCAACGGGCAGCUGAGGAGUGAUGGGGUUUGGCUGGGGCACACUGGGCUUCCAUCUGAAAUCGUCUCCCCACUGCUGUCCUGGAGGUCUGUGCUGUCCCCUGAGAGUGUAAACAGGUGGCACAUGUCCAGGACCCCAGUCCCACCCCUCCUCGGAGGUCUGAGCAGGAGGGUGGCUCUCACUUGCGGAGGAAGAAACCCUGUCAGAGGUGUGACAGCACCAUCCUCUGUACGUGAAAUUAGCCAUGGAAAUCGUGCUGAUUAAGUCACAGUUACAAUGACUGUCCAAACAGCGACUUCUCCAGCAGACUUGAAAAAGUUAAUGACCUGUGGGAGGGGAUGAACAGGGUGCCCCAUUGUCCCAGGUUAAGAAAGCAACCUGUCAGAGGUGCCUGGGUGGUUCAGUGGGUUAAAGCCUCUUCCUUCGGCUCAGGUCAUGAUCUCGGGGUCCUGGGAUCAAACCCCACAUCAG